CCUACGGGUGGCAGCAGUGGGGAAUAUUGGACAAUGGGGGCAACCCUGAUCCAGCCAUGCCGCGUGUGUGAAGAAGGCCCUCGGGUUGUAAAGCACUUUCAGUGAGGAAGAACGCCUGGUGGUUAAUACCCAUCAGGAAAGACAUCACUCACAGAAGAAGCACCGGCUAACUCCGUGCCAGCAGCCGCGGUAAUACGGAGGGUGCGAGCGUUAAUCGGAAUUACUGGGCGUAAAGCGCGCGUAGGUGGCUUGAUAAGCCGGUUGUGAAAGCCCCGGGCUCAACCUGGGAACGGCAUCCGGAACUGUCAAGCUAGAGUGCAGGAGAGGAAGGUAGAAUUCCCGGUGUAGCGGUGAAAUGUGUAGAGAUCGGGAGGAAUACCAGUGGCGAAGGCGGCCUUCUGGACUGACACUGACACUGAGGUGCGAAAGCGUGGGUAGCAAACAGGAUUAGAUACCCGUGUAGUC
rnacentral:rRNA from 1 species